ACAUGGCUGCAAGGAUAUUAGACCUCACCCUGGAGAUCAUCUCCUUGAUAACCGGAGAGGAUUACACAGUAGUGAAGAAGUCGUCUGGUGAGUGUGUGACACCCCGUGUGUCAGGAGGAUGUAGCAGGACCCAGAGACCCAUCAUCGAGCCUCUACCUCAUUCCCUGAUACAUGAGCAGAAGAUCCUAGAACUUACCACCAGUAUCACUGAGCUACUGAGCGGAGAGGUUCCUAUAAGGUGUCAGGAUGUCGCUGUCUAUUUCUCCAUGGAGGAGUGGG